rnacentral:tRNA from 1 species
GGGCGAACAUACCGACGACCACGCCCGCCCUUACAAGGCGGAUGUCGGCGGUUCGAAACCGUCCGCGCCCACCA